rnacentral:rRNA from 1 species
UACGAAGGGUGCAAGCGUUACUCGGAAUUACUGGGCGUGAAGCGUGCGUAAGCGGUUAGUUAAGUCUGUCGUGAAAGCCCCGGGCUCAACCUGGGAAUGGCGAUGGAUACUGGCUAGCUAGAGUGUGUCAGAGGAUGGUGGAAUUCCCGGUGUAGCGGUGAAAUGCGUAGAGAUGAGGAGGAACACCAGUGGCGAAGGCGGCCACCUGGACAGUAACUGACGCUGAGGCGCGAAGGCGUGGGUAGCAAACAGG